CUGGCGGCUGCCUAAUACAUGCAAGUCGAACGGAGAACAUCGUAGCAAUACUUUGUUCUUAGUGGCGAACGGGUGAGUAACGCGUUGGUGACCUGCCCCGAAGCGGGGGAUAACAGUCCGAAAGGACUGCUAAUACCCCAUAUGGUCUCAGGGAUUAGAUGCCCUGAGUCUAAAGGAGUAAUCCACUUUGGGAGGGACCUGCGUCCCAUCAGCUAGUUGGUAAGGUAACGGCCUACCAAGGCUUCGACGGGUAGGGGACCUGAGAGGGUGGCCCCCCACAAUGGAACUGAAACACGGUCCAUACACCUACGGGUGGCAGCAGUAGGGAAUAUUGGUAAUGGGCGAAAGCCCGAACCAGCAACGCCGCGUGUGCGAUGAAGGCCUUCGGGUCGUAAAGCACUUUUUGAGAAGAUGAUACAAGACAGUACUCUCAGAAUAAGUCUUGGCUAACUACGUGCCAGCAGCAGCGGUAACACGUAGGAGACAAGCGUUAUCCGGAUUUACUGGGCGUAAAGCGCGUGCAGGCGGUUUGGAAAGUUGGAUGUGAAAGCUCCUGGCUUAACUGGGAGAGGUCAUUCAAAACUACCAGACUUGAGAGUGGUAGAGGAAGGUGGAAUUCCGGGUGUAGUGGUGAAAUGCGUAGAUAUCCGGAGGAACACCAGUGGCGAAAGCGGCCUUCUGGACCAUUUCUGACGCUCAGACGCGAAAGCUAGGGUAGCAAACGGGAUUAGAGACCCCGGUAGUCCUAGCCGUAAACUAUGUUGACUUGGCGUUGGUGGGUUAAUAUCCGCCAGUGCCGUAGCUAACGCGAUAAGUCAACCGCCUGGGGACUACGAUCGCAAGAUUAAAGCUCAAAGGAAUUGACGGGGGCCCGCACAAGCAGCGGAGCGUGUGGUUUAAUUCGAUUUACACGAAGAACCUUACCAAGGUUUGACAUGCAAGUGGUAGGAAUCUGAAAAGUGACCGACCCUUCGGGGAGCUUGCACAGGUGUUGCAUGGCUGUCGUCAGCUCGUGUCGUGAGAUGUUCGGUUAAGUCCGCUAACGAGCGCAACCCUUGCUGUGUGUUAUACGUGUCACACGGGACUGCCGGUAUUAAGCCGGAGGAAGAUGGGGAUGAAGUCAAGUCAGCAUGACCUUUAUAUCUUGGGCUACACACACGCUACAAUGGCCAGUACAACGGGUAGCCAAGCCGCGAGGCGGAGCCAAUCCACAAAGCUGGUCUCAGUUCAGAUUGCAGGCUGCAACCCGCCUGCAUGAAGUCGGAGUUGCUAGUAAACGCAGGUCAGCUAUACUGCGUUGAAUACGUUCCCGGGCCUUGUACACACCGCCCGUCACGUCAUGGGAGCUGGCAACACCUGAAGCCGGUAUCCUAACCCGCAAGGGAAGGAGCCGUCUAGGGUGGGGUCGGUAACUGGGACGAAGUCGUAACAAGGUA
rnacentral:rRNA from 1 species